UCUUCAUUUUGCGCACUCUCUCACCGGUCAGAGAGGCGAGAGAGUGUGGAAAAUGAAGAGA
rfam:Pristionchus pacificus strain PS312 contig8091, whole genome shotgun sequence.